rnacentral:rRNA from 1 species
UACGGAGGGUGCAAACGUUGCUCGGAAUCAUUGGGCGUAAAGCGCACGUAGGCGGCUUUGUAAGUUAGAGGUGAAAGCCCAGGGCUUAACCCUGGAAUUGCCUUUAAGACUGCAUCGCUAGAAUUGUGGAGAGGUGAGUGGAAUUCCGAGUGUAGAGGUGAAAUUCGUAGAUAUUCGGAAGAACACCAGUGGCGAAGGCGACUCACUGGACACAUAUUGACGCCGAGGUGCGAAAGCGUGGGGAGCAAACAGG